UCCAUCAAGGAGGGCUUCCACCUUUUGCAGAGAGCUCUGUAUGUAAAUGCAAAGUCUCUAAUGCUCUCUCUUUCUCCCUGUGUUCUUGUCCUUACCCGUUCAGCCAGCUCAUCUUCAUAAUCCUCUGAGAGGAAAGCAGAGAGGAAAGCAGCUUCCAAUUCUUCCCACGUGGUUAUUGAGGAUCGUACAACUUCCCACCAGUCCUGGGCAGUACCGUAAAGGACAGUGCGGUAAGUGGCCAGAAUGUCAGCAUCAGUAAGAGGAUGUAAUGCUAAGAAAUCCUGACUAAGAGUUAGAUAGAGCAAGGUGUCAUGUCAUCUGACUGGAAAUGUAAUCUUAAGAUGAUCACUCUUUACAACAGGAGCAGGAUGCAAAGGAGCGGUCACUGGUGAUAAAGCUGAAACUGGAGCGUCAAGAGGUAAAGUCCUAUAAAUUCAGGUGUGAGCGGAUCGUCUACAAUGUUAAUUGAACACGUUUCAUCAUGCUGCCGAUGUGAAGAUUAUGGAGAUGAGUGCUACAAGGCCACAAAGAGCUAAAAGAAAUGCCAAACAGGAUGCUGCUUAUUAUUGCUCCUUAGGCAAAGAUAAGGAAGGAUUUGAAGCUAAAUAUAUUGAUUCUUUUAAAGGU